rnacentral:rRNA from 1 species
UGGGGAAUAUUGCACAAUGGGCGAAAGCCUGAUGCAGCGACGCCGCGUGAGUGAAGAAGUAUUUCGGUAUGUAAAGCUCUAUCAGCAAGGAAGAAAAUGACGGUACUUGACUAAGAAGCCCCGGCUAACUACGUGCCAGCAGCCGCGGUAAUACGUAGGGGGCAAGCGUUAUCCGGAUUUACUGGGUGUAAAGGGAGUGUAGACGGUCUGGUAAGUCAGAUGUGAAAGCCCGGGGCUCAACCCCGGGACUGCAUUUGAAACUAUCAGACUAGAGUGCAGGAGAGGUAAGUGGAAUUCCUAGUGUAGCGGUGAAAUGCGUAGAUAUUAGGAGGAACACCAGUGGCGAAGGCGGCUUACUGGACUGUAACUGACGUUGAGGCUCGAAAGCGUGGGGAGCAAACAGG